AAAGUCAUUUCUGAUAAUUAUGUGAAACGGUGAUCAUCACAUUCUGUACUGAGAUUCAACUUGGAUUCAAUGUUGUUACAUUUUCUGGUCCAUUGGGAUCAUGGAAUCUAUGUAAUACAUUUAUAACAGAGGUCAGAGAUUGUUAUUACAAGCCGGCUUUGGAUUGGUUGAAAAAAAGUGUAGGGAAACCUGUAAGAUUCAAUGAGACGUAAGCUGAUUGGAUGAAAAGGUAAUGUUUACAAUUAUAAGAUUUGUGUCAACAUCAAGCAAUAUAAAGUUUUCUGAGAAAUUUGGAAUAUUUCACUAGUGUCUGGCUGAAUGGUAGACUUUACAAUUCUGCAUUUAUGUUUAAUAUUGUAUGUAAGUAGUGUUUGUUUAAAGGGGACAACAUGCACUCGGUACAGGAGGGGUUUUAGACAUUUUGCAUCAACACUGCAUCAACACCGACUUCUUGGUGGUCAUUUUGAAUAAGAAAAUGGAGUUUUAUUUCAUAUUUUCAGUACAGUUGACAUAAGACAUUGUGACAUACUAUACAGAAAGUGGUACUGGUGACUAGAAUUUUGGAUGAGAGUGAAAACAACACAUUUGUUACUUUAGAGGUCUCCAUACAGACUUGACCGGUUAUGAUUCCAUGAAGAUUUUAUGACAAGACUGUAGGAAGUCUAUUUACUGACAGUGCAAGAGUGGUUAUUGUUGAAGAAUAGUAAAGAAUUAGCGAUUAGAAUCAUGUUGUAAUAUGCAGACAAUUAUGCACAACUGGGUCUGAGCGAAGAAUCAAAGUAAUAGUCUAUAUAGGCUAUUUUCAGAUAGUCACAGUGUUAUGAGAAGCAGAUUCCAGCAAUCGCACCGAGUUUCACCUUUCAAGUACAUCACGAAGACGAGAUGUUAAAAAACUUCUUCCACCGGACGACAUUUUCCUGUCGAUGUCACGACCCGGAAGUGAUAUAUCCGUGGUUUACUUAACUCGCCUGGAUGUGAAUUCCCAGCGCUGAGAUACUACGUCACAUAGGAACAUGAUUGUGCAUUAACCACCAAGCUGCUGACCUUUACAAUGGGGAGCUACAAUGGGGUCAACGUCUUCGCGAUUUAAUGGGGCAGUACCUUAAAAAGUGUUCUUCGUUGAUCGUGCUACUCUAAGUUUAAAGUAAAACUGAAACAUCUGUGUAACUGUCACGAUGACAUUCUAUAAGUAGUCUGAGAAUUGAACUUCUUCUCUAUAAACCAUCAACUAUUGAGCUCAGCUUGUUUUUUGUUUUCUAUGUAGUUUUUUCUCUUAUUAAUUAAUUGUAAAUAUUCAUUUUAUUUCUGUAAAAAAAAGACUUGUAAAUAUUGCAAUGAAUGUUAAAUUGUUCGUAUAGUAUCUGCCCCCCGGUUCGACUAUCCUGUCACAUUGGUGUCAGAAGUGGGAUGGUGGGCAAGAUACAGUAGUUAUUCGAACUUUUUCAACACUCAAUGAACUGCAGCAAUAGUUUGUAAAGAUUCCUCUUGUUUUGUUCUCUUGUUGUUUCACUUAUAAUAGUUUUAUCCUUUUUUUUUCAGAGUGACGACCUACCUCAGACGAGACAGUUUUGUGUCUUCAGCUAACCAGCUCUAGAGGUCAACGACUGAUAGACAGCUGACGUUUGAAAUCUGGGGUGAGUUCGUUCCUGUUCUGUUAUUUUCUUUUGGGUUUAUGUUGUGUCACUCUAUGAUGAUCUGUGCUGAGAGUGACCAUCCUCGACACGAAGAGUUAUCCUACUCGCUCUUACCUGUGCGCCGCCCUAUUUCUGCCAGUGGUCCUAUUAUGUAUUAAUGUACUGUAUAAACACUAGAUACAGUAACUUAAUUUACAAGUGUGUUUUAGCAAGGCUGUUUACUUGCAUAUACUUUUAACCUACUCUUAUGUUUUUAGUGCUAUACAGUUUUGAUUUACCUACACUUUGUCAAAGGAUAAAGCGCUUUGGUUUAUUUUUGUUUUAUUUAUUACACUAAAGUGUUAACACUAGUUACAGUUGAUCAUUACUUGGUUAGGUUAGGAUAUUGUUACAGUCUACUGUCACUGUAUAUUGUUUAUUUUUGCCUAUACAACCUUGAUUGACCUUGAGUACUGUUGUGCGACUUAGUGUAUUAUUAUUUUAGUGAGGACGUUUGUGUAGUAUAUACUUUGUGAGUAUUGUAUUUUGUUUUGGCUUCAGUGGUAACUGAAGAGUCUUACUUUAAACUAGUGCAACAAGUAAUGUGUCGUUCCCUUUUAAAUAAAGCAUCAUAACAUUUUAUUUUUAAAGUUAGUAAGGCAUUCUGGUUAUUUUUAUUUAUAAGAUGUCAAAGCUUAAAAUACUAACAGAAGUAAUCCUCGUCUGACUUCUUGCAAUUUUCACUCUUACAGACCGUUUUCAAUUAAAAAGCUAAGGAUGUGUUCUUUAGAUAGGCCAGUGUCAAAACCUUUUGAUCUUAAAGUUGGACAUAUCGAUUGCGGGGUUCGUUUCCAUGGUAACACUAAUUUAGUUCCCAAUAUCACCUUUAUAUACUGAAAUAUGAUUGGUUUUUGCAUAGUUUUUAGUAAAUUUAAAACAAAUUACAAAUAAAAACGGAAACAUAGUAUUAGAAUACAUGUACCAACGUCCUGAUUGGAAUGUGCAUGAUAAUUAACCUUAUAUCUGUUUAUUUGGCCAAGAAAAUCAGCACACAGCAUCCAUUGGCUUACAUUCCGCAUGUCAUUUCAGUUCAAAUACAUGGAACUACAUAGUACUGAUCAUAAAUCAAAACGAAAGAAUCAUGAAAAAUAUAAUUCGGCAAAUUUUGACUAUUUAAAGUAAGUUCAAGCACUGUAAAUUCCCGACAUUUAAGCUACGAACUUUUAAUACUUGCAGUUACUAUUACGUAACUUCACGUCGUCCAUGGCGUGAUUUUAACAUAACAAUGUUUUGUAGCUAAAUAGUAAAUCCUGAAACUUGAUUAGUAGAUUAGGCUCAGUAAAUUAUUUCCAAAUAAGCUCAUGUAAAAUAGUUAUAUUAAGUUAAUUUUCAACAUGGAUUGUUAUCUCUGUAGUUUAAAUAUAUAAAACAGUUUACAACAAAUAUUUUCUAAUGAACAACAAACAAUACAAAAUAACAAGAAAUAAACACUAUUGUAUCGGAACAUAGGAUUCAAAUAAAAGAAUAAACAAUGUGGAUCUUUUGAUCGUACAAAUCUAUCUCAGUUAUCAAAUUUUGCCAAUUUGAGACGUAUGAAAACUCAAAGCCAACCGACGAUCCAAAGGUCAUGCCGAUAAAUACCUUGCACUCACUGGGUUUAUGGUCGCUAUAUUAUUAAGUAUUAUAACCUUGCCACGGGAAUGCACUAAAAUACUUUGCCCUAUUUCCUACCAAUGCGCUCUUAAAUCAAUAUUAUAAGACGAUACCCAUUUUAGACUUUUAAGACGGAGCAAAAUGUAUGUUUAGACAAAUAACGCUUGUGGAAAACAUCUAAAUGUAAUUUCAAAUUCAAUUUUCUUACAAUUUUACAAUUUUUUAAACUUGUUAAAACAUUUCCUCCAAGGGUAAAACUAGGAUUCUUGCAUUGAAUAAAAUCGCCUUAUAUAUAGACGUGAAGUUGCUCAAUUUCAAUUCCCUAAAUGUCAUUCCAAUGAAUGCUCUUGUGGCUUUCAGAUGCUCUAUCACCAGUCCAAUAAACAAUAGUCACCAAAGAUCCAUGCUUCUGUAAAGUAAUUUUAUUUUCAGUCAAGUUAAAAUAAGCGCCAUUUGUGUCUAUUAACACUCCUUGACGCAAUCACUUUAUGAACUACAGUAAACUCCACAUGUAACGAUAUCGCUUGUACCGAUAUACCGCUUGUAACGAUGCUGUGGUUGCAGUCCCGACUCGGGCCUUCUAUAUUUCCUUUCCGGAUGUACGAUAUCGCAUGUAACGAUAUUUCCGAUGUUACGAUGCGAUUUUCAGGUCCCCAAUGCUUUGUUUUCCCGUUUAAUGUACAUUUUGCUAUGACAAUGGAAUUAAAUGCAAACUUAUUGUACAUUCACGUGACAUUCCCUUUUAAUGUAUUUUAUAUAAUAUUUCAUAAUUAUUAAUAUAUUUUCAUAAUCUUUGAUGAAAAUUACAUAUAUAUUUGACUAGUAAGUAGUUUGUAAAUAAAUCGUAUACAGAAGCUGGACGUAUUCUAUAUUAUGAGUUGCACAUCUCUUUCAUCAAGCGCACCUUACCUACAUUCGGUUUCGGCCGACGCCGAACUCAACUUCGAGUAACGGUAUCCGGAUGUAACGAUAUGAAUUCUGCGGUCCCCUGAAUAUCGUUACAAGCGGAAUUUACUGUUUAUAAAUGCCUACUUAUACUAUUUAUAUAAUAUAGGUUUAAAUGCCUUCGAUGACCAACGACCCAUCUGCUUAAUAUUUUCCUCACAAACAUCUUGCCGUGCUAGUUCGCUAGCUCUACCAAAUACGGAAACUAUGUAACCAAUCAACAUAAAUGCCGUAGAUAAAGCCUCGUUAAUUGAGAUCGCGUUAAUGGAGAAUCAUUGAUAAAGCAAAAUUACAAUUCACUGCGGUUAUUUUAACUUGCAUGUAACAUUCAAGCUUAUCACAAGAAUAAAUCUGGUUCGACAUUGACUUUGGUGUACAAACAGCAGUUGUUAUAUCAUAUUGAAACGUCUUAGAAGUAUACAGAGUAACGUUUAUUGUAUUUCGUUUGUCGAACUGCUCAUCGUGAACUUUAAGAUCUUUUUCAACUGACUGUAUCAUUGAUGCUACUAGCUCAAUUACCUGAGAGAGAACAAGUGGGCAAGAGAACAUACGGCUUGAAACAACUUGCUCCUAUAGUCAGAAUAUGAGGCAACGCUUGGCAAAUACGUACUACUUUAGAUAAGGUUAUCGGAGCACGAGCGUCUUUCCCAGAACAGUAUCGCUUGCAAAAUUCCUGCAUCUUUCUGACAAUAAAACGUGCUGAUGGAUCCGUCCAGUUCUGAAUGUUAUAUUAAAAGCUUACUCCAGCCACAUAUAAAUUAAUUGAUUUUGGUGCAUAGCCAUAUUUAAAUAUAUAUAAUCAGAAAGACAUAUGCAACACAAUAUGAUAAAGUGGAACCGAUCACACUUGAUUUAAACUCUGCGUAUCCCUAUACCUAUAAUAUCUGUUCACUGCAUUGCCAUUAGAAAUGCGUGUAUGUUCAACCGUGUCAUUCUUAUGAGACAAGUAACCCUUCCUUGGUACCAUUUUAGAUCAAGAUCUGCUUUCAGUGUUCUGUAAACGAGAUGACAUAUCGCAUAGAAGCACCAUCGAGUUGUCUGAUUUGGAGGUCAUACCAUUUAAAUGUACACUACUGCCAAAUUAUUACACCUAAGCAAUGUCACAAAAUAACAGCGCUGCAAGUAUUUUGAACAAUUCAAACACAGUAACAUAUUGCGUAAAGCCUUCAGUAAACCAUUCAUUCGGCCACUCCAAUUCCCAAUGCACAGAAAAAUAAAUACUAAAACCUAAUCCGUCACCUACUGCACCGUCUGUGAACACAGAAUCUUCAGCAUUUGGCACCCGUCUUGAAAUAUUGGAACACCUCUAAUCUCCUGGAAAAAUAGUACUUUCACCCCAGCAAACUGUGUUACAACUGAUUAUUUACGUAAAUACCGAUUAAAGUUGUUUAAACCGCGAAUAGAGUUAAUCAGCCUUCUGCAGAAGAGACUUCCGGAAACAAUAAAACUAUAAGCGAAUUUCAGGAUACUUAUUAAACCGUUUGCUACUUUUGUUUAGGGUAUGGUUGAUACGCUUUAAUAUCUCGUUUAUUCUAUCUAAAUACGUUAUGACUAGUAUUUUUUUAAGAAUCGAGCUCAAGACCGAGUAAACACAAACUUGUCGUAGGACUGUUGGAAAAUUAAGCUAACUAACUCAUUUGUUAAAUGACAGCAGAAGUUUAAUUUUUCACGAUUGUCUAUCAAACAUUCAUUUGUCAUACGUUCAACUAUUGUGGUUUUUUUUAUUCAGACAUAUUCACGCGAGAAGAAGAAUUGAAAUGACAAUUGUCAGUAAGUGUCAAAAGAAUACUAUCCACAUGCUUGGACAGUUCGACACCACAUUUAAGUAACAUAACAAUAUUGACAUACUGUGACUCUUUUUUGGUUCGCACAGAAUCCGGCACAUACAGGGAUAAAUUAUCCCCACCGCAUUUCAACAUUUCUUGAUUUGCCUGUUAAACUACAUCAUUAGUGCUUACAUCGUUUAUUUAUGAAUAUUUUAAUAUGAUCUCAAAGCAAUGUUUUUCCUUACGAUUUCCGAUAGAUGACGGCCUCUCACAUAUCAAUUACAAUUAUCCUGUUCCGUGCUCGUCUGAUGUCUCGUUGGUUAUAUUUGAUUUUGAUAGUGCCAUUCUCCAAACCGUUCUACUGAAAAGUUGCCUCUCACCACACUCUUCUUGAUUAUCACAAACAGGAAUUUUCCUCGUUCGUAACUCUGUUUACGUCCGAGCCUCUUUGAUGUUUAUAUCUUAAAUUAAAAACGAUUUAAAACAUAUAAGUGUAUACUGAUUUGUUAGCCAGAAACGAAAAGAAAUACGAUAAUGCGAACUAUGCUUACUGUAAAUCUUAGACCACAAGUAUUUCGUUUUCAUUUGUACCUAUUAAAACUGAAUCAAGGGUCUGCAAAAUAAAACAAAAUAAUGUAUUUUUCCUACAAAUUUACUUUUUCCCCUAAUCAUUACUUAUGUUAAUAUUAUUAACCACAGAUGGAGGACAUAUCACACUGCAAACUUUUGUUAUACCUCUU
rnacentral:lncRNA from 1 species